AGAGUUUGAUCCUGGCUCAGAAUCAACGCUGGCGGCGUGCCUCAGACAUGCAAGUCGAACGAUUAAACUUUCCUUCGGGAAAGAUAUAAAGUGGCGCACGGGUGAGUAACACGUAGGUAAUGUGCCUUUGGGUGGGGAAUAACUUAGGGAAACUUAAGCUAAUACCGCAUAAUGCGAUAACUUCUUCGGAAGAUUUUGUUAAAGAUUUAUCGCCUGAAGAGCAGCCUGCGGCAGAUUAGCUAGUUGGUAAGGUAACGGCUUACCAAGGCGACGAUCUGUAUCCGACCUGAGAGGGUGGUCGGACACACUGACACUGAAUAACGGGUCAGACUCCUACGGGAGGCAGCAGUCGGGAAUUUUGGGCAAUGGGCGAAAGCCUGACCCAGCAACGCCGCGUGAAGGAUGAAGUCUUUCGGGAUGUAAACUUCGUAAGAAUAGGAAGAAUAAAUGACGGUACUAUUUGUAAGGUCCGGCUAACUACGUGCCAGCAGCCGCGGUAAUACGUAGGGACCAAGCGUUGUUCGGAUUUACUGGGCGUAAAGGGCGCGUAGGCGGCGUGUCAAGUCAAUUGUGAAAUCUCCGAGCUUAACUCGGAACGGUCAAUUGAUACUGAUGUGCUAGAGUGCAGAAGGGGCAAUCGGAAUUCUUGGUGUAGCGGUGAAAUGCGUAGAUAUCAAGAGGAACACCUGAGGUGAAGACGGGUUGCUGGGCUGACACUGACGCUGAGGCGCGAAAGCUAGGGUAGCAAACGGGAUUAGAUACCCCGGUAGUCCUAGCCCUAAACGAUGAAUACUUGGUGUCUGGAGUUUUAAUUCUCCGGGUGCCGUCGCUAACGUUUUUAGUA
rnacentral:rRNA from 1 species